rnacentral:rRNA from 1 species
AUGGUCAAGUGGGCUGACAUCUGUAUGCCUAAGGACCGAGGUGGGUUGGGCAUACCCGCAUCCCGCCGGAUGAACGUGGCGCUCAAGCUACGUUGGGUUUGGCAGAUCUUGCGAGGAGAUGGGGGGCUGUGGUUGCAGCUGGUUGAGGCCAAAUACUUGCAGGGCCAGCCCCUCUUGGCGUGUUCUCAGUCGGCUGGUUCUCAAUUCUGGAAAUCUAUUCAGGCCAUCAAGGAAGAGAUUAGGUUGGGUGUGCGCUUCUCGGUUGGCAAUGGGUCUGGGACCGGAUUUUGGUUGGACCCCUGGCUUCAGGGCGAGCUUCUCCGCCUGCGGUUCCCGCGUCUCUUUGCGAUUUGUGCGGACCCAGGCAUUCUAGUCUCUGAGGCGGCUCUGGAGGACGGAUGGAACAUUGCGUUCCGCCGCUCCUUCGGACCUGCUGAGGUCAGGGAAUGGGCAGACCUGAGGGAAGUAGUCCCUCUUCCUCUGUCCCUGGACCUUGAUUCGGUGUCGUGGAGCCUUUCGCCUUCGGGCGAUUUCUCCGUUAGUUCGGCUUAUCAGGCAUUAUGUAGGCUGCCGGUUCUACCGUGGCUAAUUCCAUUGUGGAAGGCACCGCUACCUUUGAAGAUCAAGAUUUUUGUUUGGCAGCUUCUUCGAGAUCGUCUCCCUUCAGGGACCGAGGUGCUGAAGCGCCAUGGUCCGGGCAAUGGUCUGUGCCCUUUGUGCCAUGUCCCGGAAACGGGAACGCACAUUCUUUUCUCGUGCAUAGCAGCGUAG